GGCGACUCAUAAAAUACCCAUAUGUUAAAGCGAAACGGAAGAUUUGAAGCGAAAAUCAAUACUAUCGCUAGUAGAAUUUUCACGAAUUUUCUGAGCUGCACAGCUAGCAGGUAUAAAUAGGGCAGCGCUAGCCAGCACGCCAACAUUUGUACUUUGGCCGUGCAGCAGAGUGUUUAUAGAAAGAAAUCUUGAAAAGUGUUAAAAGUUAAAGAAAGUGAAUAAAUUGUUUUUUUUUGCUUGGGUUCAGCGGUUUUCAAAGAAGAGAACAGUGUUUUUUGAGUAUUGGUUGAAAAAUGAAGUCUGCAAAAAUGGUUAACGGAAGUUGGUGUUUUUGGAAGAAGUUGCAAGUCUUAUUAGAGGAAGAUGAUCCCGGUUAGCUGAGAUGGCGUUAUUAUACAAUGAGUACAUUGAGCAUAUAUGGAAAUAACAUUACCUAAGAGAGGAGGCUAGGCAAAAAGACAACGCAUGGAAUUUUACUUCUGGUCUGCUGGCUUACCAUAACUGGAUCUGUUUAGGCAGGAUGACUGAGAUGUACUCUUGACUGAGAGGAAUCUAUGGGCAGGCCAGGCAGGAAUGUGUUGUUGAGUGAAGACAUACAGGCAGGCAGGCAAGGCAAGCAGGCAAACACGUACAGCCGAAGGCAGAAAACUGCGUUGAGGAUGGUGUGUGUGUGUGUGUUGGCCACAAAUGGAUGUGG